AUCUUGACUAUUGACUACUGGGACCGUACGGCGGCCGAAUCCGUACGUUUGCAGGAAACACUGCCACACCUGCAUCGCUGCCUUCCUGAGAUCACUGCCACCCCGUCGGCCGAGGCCGUACUGUGACUUCUUGUACGGACGCAACGUUACGGGCAACAUGGCCGCGCCUAUGCGCGGCUUCCACGCAGAUGCCGUCAUCUUGGAAUCUGAUUCCGUAAGAUGGCCGAGUCCGUACGUUUACAGACAAUACAUGGCAGCGUCCUGAUUGCGGCUUCCACAAGGGCGCCGCCAUUUUGACCAUCGAUACCGUAGGCCGGUGGUUUGUCCUGCUGAGAAGUUCACAGAAAAAGUGUCCGCUUCCGAAACACGACCCGUAUCAAGUUACACACAUUCAUCUAUUCAAUCACUUUUCCGUUUCACAUGUAAAAACGAGACGCCAGAAGACUGGGUGUCGUGCGCUGCGAAGGAAACCAUUACCCCUGUUACAUUUGCUACGUUACCUCCCGCGACUCUCCCGCUCUCUUCCCCCUUCCAGUUCCUCAGCCAGGCCUGGCACGGUUCAGCCUCUGGGCUUUUGCAGGAGUGCUCUCGCCCCUCAGAAUUAUUCCCAAGCAACAGCGGAAGGCCAUGAACGGUGUGGACUGACCGCCUCUGGUGAGAAGUGGCCGAACCAAAGAAGCACCGUUAUCCCUGCCAGCACUGUUCAGUUGGGUUCGUGCCAGAAGAACUGAGCCCUGAACGCCACGUGGUGUAGUUUUUUAUAUAUUUUCCACUUCUUUGUCUCCCAUAUAUGGGAUGGGACCCUACCACAGUUUGAUUCUGUACCACCCGAAAUCAUCUCAGGAAUCCCCAGGGAUCCACAGACAACACUUUGAGAACUAAUUUUCUAUACCAUAAA